GGGAAAUUAGAUAGCUGAUAGUUGCUGCUAAAUAGCACUAACAAUCGAUACGUAAAUUUCCCUGACACGGAAGAGGUCACUGGUUCAAAUCCAGUACGGCCCACCA
rnacentral:tRNA from 1 species